GUGCUUCGGUACUCACAUGAUCUAACAAACCUUACCUAAAUUGUCCGUUUAUGAAUUUUGAAAUAAUUAUUAAACUGAGGUUUCAACUCCCUCAGGCAACGUUGGCUUCAGAUGAAUUUAUUUAUUUUAGGUAUUUUUGACAUAUAGCUCUUAAACGAUUUUCGGUACUUAUCCAUCUUCGGAUUUCAAAUGUUUGGUUUUGAG
rnacentral:lncRNA from 1 species